GAUGAACGCUGGCGGCGUGCCUAAUACAUGCAAGUCGAGCGAACAGACGAGGAGCUUGCUCCUCUGACGUUAGCGGCGGACGGGUGAGUAACACGUGGAUAACCUACCUAUAAGACUGGGAUAACUUCGGGAAACCGGAGCUAAUACCGGAUAAUAUAUUGAACCGCAUGGUUCAAUAGUGAAAGACGGUUUUGCUGUCACUUAUAGAUGGAUCCGCGCCGCAUUAGCUAGUUGGUAAGGUAACGGCUUACCAAGGCAACGAUGCGUAGCCGACCUGAGAGGGUGAUCGGCCACACUGGAACUGAGACACGGUCCAGACUCCUACGGGAGGCAGCAGUAGGGAAUCUUCCGCAAUGGGCGAAAGCCUGACGGAGCAACGCCGCGUGAGUGAUGAAGGUCUUCGGAUCGUAAAACUCUGUUAUUAGGAAAGAACAAAUGUGUAAGUAACUAUGCACAUCUUGACGGUACCUAAUCAGAAAGCCACGGCUAACUACGUG
rnacentral:rRNA from 1 species